UCAGACUUCAUAAAUCAUCUUCAUUCUCUCCCAAUCAUCACAAUCGCAAUUCUACGGUGUAAAGGUUUCUACUACUAAUUCUUGUUCUGUCUUCUCUGUCAGU